CCUACGGGAGGCAGCAGUGGGGAAUAUUGCGCAAUGGGCGAAAGCCUGACGCAGCGACGCCGCGUGAGGGAUGAAGGCCUUCGGGUUGUAAACCUCUUUCAGCAGGGACGAAGCGAAAGUGACGGUACCUGCAGAAGAAGCACCGGCUAACUACGUGCCAGCAGCCGCGGUAAUACGUAGGGUGCAAGCGUUGUCCGGAUUUAUUGGGCGUAAAGAGCUCGUAGGCGGUCUGUCGCGUCGGAUGUGAAAACCCAGGGCUCAACCCUGGGCCUGCAUUCGAUACGGGCAGACUUGAGUGUUGCAGGGGAGACUGGAAUUCCUGGUGUAGCGGUGAAAUGCGCAGAUAUCAGGAGGAACACCGGUGGCGAAGGCGGGUCUCUGGGCAACAACUGACGCUGAGGAGCGAAAGCGUGGGGAGCGAACAGGAUUAGAUACCCUGGUAGUCCACGCCGUAAACGGUGGGCGCUAGGUGUGGGGAACCUUCCACGUUCUCUGUGCCGCAGCUAACGCAUUAAGCGCCCCGCCUGGGGAGUACGGCCGCAAGGCUAAAACUCAAAUGAAUUGACGG
rnacentral:rRNA from 1 species